UUGUAAAGAUUUGAUAUUAAAAUUAUCCGCUUAAAGUAGCCUUUCUCUAUUUUUUUGCAGAACGUGGGCUAAAGAUAGCACUCAUAAUGCUGUUGUUAAACAGCAUCCUUUUUGCUAGGAUAAAUAAAUUCUUUCUUGAUUAUAAAUCUAAGAAUGGAUGGGAUGGAGAUCAUUUUCGCAGUUUGUUUCUUUUCCACAUGGCAGAAUUUUCUCCAAAAUGCUCAACUGUUAUUUCAGAUGAGGAAAUUGAGAUUCACUGAAGGAGAAAGAUUGCACUUCUUUCACUUCAGCCCAAGCUAAGAAAAAUGUGCUUCUGUUUAUCCCCCCAAGAUGACAACUUAAGUCGUUGAGUCUGUCAGUUCCAGGCAAGGGUCAAGCUCCACCGGACCAGCCAUCUAGGAAAUAACAUGGCUGGUUAUUUCCAAGCUACAUUCAAGUGUGUGUCCACUAUAGACUCAGGUACACAAUUUCUUUUACUUUAUCUAAUAGUUGGGCUAUUUUCCUUAUCAGUUUCUAAGCAAAGAAAUAUUUAUUCCAUUUUUUCUCAUUUCAGAUAAAAGAUCUUGUUGCUUCCAACUGAACUUGGGUCCUUAAGGACUUGGGUUUGUUUGUUCCUAACUCGGGCUGUGGGGGGUUGGAGAACAUAUCUAUUUUAUAGCUUCCCUUCCUUUACCUUUAAACAGAACAGCUGGUCAUGCUCCCUUUCUUGGACAAUAGAACUUGAAUGAGUCUAAAGAGGCCCAGAGCUUCAAAACACAAAAGGUUUACCUGUAGGAGGGAAGGUAAGAUAAUGUCGGUGCUUCAAGUGUCACUCAUUCUUGCAUGAAUGAUGAGAGAACUACCUGGAAUCUUUGUUGCUAAAGCUUAUGAAAAUUAAAUCAAGUUAAAGGUACACAGAUGAAGAAAUUACAUCUCAUAUAUAGGAUGACUUUCCUACAGUGACAUUGCUAAGAGACACAUGAUCAGGGUUUGAAUGUUUAAGUAAUCCCAAAACCUGUGUUCUAGCCCUAGUACUGUGUGACUGCUAGAAUACCACUAUUCUCUCUCAGGAAUAAGAUGACAUUUUCAGUGAUGAUCAUUAUGGUGUUAUGGGAGGCAGCAUGGACUUGAGCCAGACUGUGGCCAGACUGCCUUGAAUUUGAAUCUCAGAUUUGCUAUUUAUAAGCAGUGUGAUUUCAAGCAAAUUGCUUAACCUCUCAGACUCAAGUCAAUUUUCUUACCUGUAUAAUGCUAAUCAUGAUUAUCUCAUUG
rnacentral:lncRNA from 1 species